AACGAACGCUGGCGGCAGGCCUAACACAUGCAAGUCGAGCGAGGACUUCGGUUCUAGCGGCGGACGGGUGAGUAACGCGUGGGAAUGUGCCCUUCUCUACGGAAUAGCCCUGGGAAACUGGGAGUAAUACCGUAUACGCCCUUUUGGGGAAAGAUUUAUCGGAGAAGGAUCAGCCCGCGUUGGAUUAGGUAGUUGGUGGGGUAAUGGCCUACCAAGCCGACGAUCCAUAGCUGGUUUGAGAGGAUGAUCAGCCACACUGGGACUGAGACACGGCCCAGACUCCUACGGGAGGCAGCAGUGGGGAAUCUUAGACAAUGGGGGCAAACCUGAUCGAGCCAUGCCGCGUGAGUGAUGAAGGCCUUAGGGUUGUAAAGCUCUUUCAGCUGGGAAGAUAAUGACGGUACCAGCAGAAGAAGCCCCGGCUAACUCCGUG
rnacentral:rRNA from 1 species